rnacentral:rRNA from 1 species
GAUGAACGCUGGCGGCGUGCCUAAUACAUGCAAGUCGAGCGAACGGACGAGAAGCUUGCUUCUCUGAUGUUAGCGGCGGACGGGUGAGUAACACGUGGAUAACCUACCUAUAAGACUGGGAUAACUUCGGGAAACCGGAGCUAAUACCGGAUAAUAUUUUGAACCGCAUGGUUCAAAAGUGAAAGACGGUCUUGCUGUCACUUAUAGAUGGAUCCGCGCUGCAUUAGCUAGUUGGUAAGGUAACGGCUUACCAAGGCAACGAUGCAUAGCCGACCUGAGAGGGUGAUCGGCCACACUGGAACUGAGACACGGUCCAGACUCCUACGGGAGGCAGCCGUAGGGAAUCUUCCGCAAUGGGCGAAAGCCUGACGGAGCAACGCCGCGUGAGUGAUGAAGGUCUUCGGAUCGUAAAACUCUGUUAUUAGGGAAGAACAUAUGUGUAAGUAACUGUGCACAUCUUGACGGUACCUAAUCAGAAAGCCACGGCUAACUACGUG